GUCAGAAUGUCCUGGUCAGAGGGAGUCCAGGGACAAAUCCUGCAUGAACACAAGAACAGGCAAUGAAGACCCUGGACUGGGAUCAAAAUCUAGUAUUGUGUCAUAUCCCAGAUGGACAUUAAGAUACUGAAAUAAAAAAGAAUAAUUAACAUAUAAGUGGAAGAAUGGAGUAAACAUGACUGUGGAUGUGUUCUUAGAGGAAGCUGGGUGGUCGUCUUCAAAAGAAGUUGCCAGAAAGCAAAGAGAAAUAGUUUGGAUUGAGGUUUUGGUUCUAUACUCUGCACAUAAAGAGAAUCCACUUUGAUAAGGAUAUGGGAGAGAGUGAGAAGAGGACAGCCUGGAACAUGACCAUGCAAAGCUGUUUGUCCCCAAAGUAGGAGUCUCAUACUGGAAGGAUAACAAAUAUAAAAUGCCCUUGUACAGCCAUGAUUGCCCUGAAGAGGUUUUGGUGUCUUCUCCUGCCUCUUCAUGUACAGGUUCGUGCUCUUGCUGGUCCCGUGCACAGCUGAACUCCCGAAGCUGUGCGUACUCAUCGCUCCUCCCAUCCCGCAGCGGUACGGCUGGAGGACAGGUGAGUGCGGCUCCAUCCGAACGACGAGCGUGCAGACGGGUCGCUCCCCAGAGCGGGUGGGAAGGGACGUGGGAUUCACACGAAGGCCGGUUUAGCCAAAAGGUGGCACUGCGGCUGCACGGAUUCGCAGCCGAUCGGCGGUCCCGCAGUAGAUGAGCCUUUCGGUCCGUGUAUCCGAA
rnacentral:lncRNA from 1 species